rnacentral:lncRNA from 1 species
UUUGGCAUAAGCUACAAUUUGAUUACAUGUCUUCCACAUGCCAGGCCCUAUGUGAGGCACAUUACUCUCAUUAUCUUACUAAAUUCUCAUCUCAUUAGCUAGACAAGAAACUGAGGCUGAAAUAGGUUGAAAGCCAUGUGAUCAAAGCAGAAAACGAAGGCCACUAGCUCUGGCUGGAAUUUGCCAGGCUUCCUCGAAGCAUGAGCCAACAGCAUAACAAUUUUCAUGGACUUUAGAUGUAUUUCUGCAUUUGCAAAAGGCUGGGGCACAUUUGAAGGGAAGCUUACUUUUUUGCAACAGUUACAGCUUCUGUCACUUGUCCAUCAGCUACAGGUCUGAUGUGCUCAUAAAAAGCUGGGGGUCAAGCUUUUCUGAGAACUCGCCUUUGGCCAACUCUAACCACAUUGUCAAAAAUGUGUCUCCUCCACUUGACUAUAAGCUCCAUCCCCAGGUCCUCUCAGAGUUUGAAUAUAAUUUUCCUCAUAUCAAUUUCAGGAACCAGCAUCUUUAGAUGAAGGACAAGUUUUCGUUGCUUCAUUCCAUUAGACUCCUGGAGUGCCUGGAGAGCUGCUGGAGGGGUUCAUCAAGAGGAUGUGACUGCUGCUUCAUCUGUGAGCUGGACCCAGGCAAUCAGAGGCUCCUCACCCCCUCCCUGGACCUUGGCAUGUACAUUUCACCCACUCUUCCCAUAGUGGAAACCGUUUCAAGGACGCAGCCUUGAGAGAGCAAUGUGUUGUUGAGACCAUCAGGACAGUAUACAUGACUGAACCCAGUAGAGGCCUCUGUGUGAACUUUUAAAAUUCUGGUGGGUGGAUACAGAGAUCUCAUCUUGCAGCCAAUCAAGACAAGACUCAUAAUGUAAAGUCCCUUGCUUAUUAAACCUGCCACCUCACAGUCUGGAGUGGUUUACCUCUUUCUUCAGUCUCUCCUUGCCCUCCAUGUAUAGGGCUCAGUUUCAGAUUUUACCUGAAGAACUCCUGGGGUUGGGAACCACAAGAGUUCCUCAGAUUCCAGUCCCCUGGCCCCUGUGACGCAACAUAACAUCUUCAUUGGCC